rnacentral:rRNA from 1 species
GCUAAAUGAUUAAUAGUUAUGUUCUUUAAAGUUAAAGAAUUUGGCGGUAUUUUAGUCUUUUCAGAGGAACCUGUUCUGUAAUCGAUAGUCCACGAUAAAUAGAUACUUUAAUUUUUAACUUGCAUAUCGUUGUAGUUAGAAUAUUUUAUAAGAAAGAUAAUGUUCAAGAUUUUAAAUUAAAAUUUAAAUCAAAUCAAGGUGUAGUCUAUAUUAAAGUAGAAAUGGGUUACAAUAAUAAUAAAAUUAAGGAUUAUUUUUUUUAAAGGAAUUUGAAUAUGGAUUUGAAAGUAAUUUUAUUAAUU